rnacentral:tRNA from 1 species
GCGGGCGUGGCGGAAUGGUAGACGCAAGGGACUUAAAAUCCCUGGGCCCAGGUCAUGCGGGUUCGAGUCCCGCCGCCCGUACCA